UCAAAAGAUGACACCAACCAGUCCAUCACUGAUGCAAGCCUAAUGGGUCGAGAGAGGUGCAUUCAGCUAGUAUGAUAAUCUCCCAGCCAUUUUUGUACUUUGAAUAGGAUUAGAAUGUGUAUCAGUCAUAUGGAAGCCUUCACAAAAUGUACCAACAGAUUUAAGUGAUAGUAAACAGACGAUUGGGGUACCAAAUUCUGAGGUCUCUAUGCUGCUUUGAGGGGCCCACUUCCUAGUCUUGAUGCCAUCUUUAGGAACUGGUUUGCUGUGAGAUUUGCUCGGCUUAAGGAUUUACGUACAGUUUAAUGGCAUCAGCUACAUUGUAUUUUGCCUGUUUUACAAGGUGAUGGUUUCUUGUAUUGUUAAAUGUGUAACUGAGCCUCCAACAAAAGAGUAACCCUGGCUAUGGGAAGAUGCAACAAGAGGGAGUAUUUUCCUGGACCAUAACAGACUAGGAAGACAGACGUUUCAGAGACUUUGAGCUACUGUUAAUAACGCCUAGUCCACUAAAAGCCUGUCUGUGAAAUCGUUGCCAGACGUGGGAGUGCGCAUUCCUAGCACCUUGGGGACGAAAUGGUCAUGAACUGCCUCUCAGAGCUCUGGUCGAAUUUAUGACCCCGGGGGAGCCCUGUGAGCUGAAGUUUGGCACCUGCCGUCAGCCUCUUACAUGGAGUAAAACAGGAGCCACUGCAGCUUCGGACCCGUAGCUCCCCCUGAGCAGAGCUCCAGGUGGGACCAGGAGUGGGGAAUCCGAGCUCUAGGAAAAGUGGAAGAACAGGCCUUCAGAGACUCAGAUAUUAUUAGGAGAUGAUUUUAUGUGCCCCAUUCUUGCAUCUCCUAUCUGGAAAAACCCUGAAAUCCUUCAUGGUGAUGUCUGCUCCUUGGGACUGGCAGUGACCUUCAGGAGAUCAGCCACAAACUUCUGUAGAAUGUGUGUGUGCUGCAGGCCCCUCCCCCUCCGCUUGAUCACAUCCUGCUGUUCCCCCUUUUCCUCCCUGGGUGGUAUUUCCGCAGGUCUGUAGCUAAGGAUGAAGAAUGUCCGGGUCAUCUGGGAAUCAGUCACCUCCAGGGGUGAGAGCAGGAGAGCGGGGCGCAGGUUGGGGUGAACACGGACCGGCGCCUCGGAGCCUGUGCGGAGGAAGAGCCCGGACAGCCGGUCCUCCAGCCUCAGCCUCCCGCCGGGCACAUGACCAGUUAAGCGCCUCCUGCUCUGCCAGCCCCUGUCCACUGCGAGAAGAUGCUCCUUCUGCUGGAAGGGAUGGAGCCCAGCAGGAAGGCACCUGGCGGGGAGCCGCAAGGAGCCCGGACAGGUCACAUCCAUCCCGGUCAAGGCUGCGGCCCCCCGGCCCCCAGGGACACGCGCCGAGGCUCCCCGCGGCCGGCGCUGCUCACCCGCAGGGUCUGAAGGGCCAGGGCAGGAAGCGGGGUUGCAACAGCAGCCCAGGGCCUGGCUGGAGGGGCUGGGGUGGCCCUGCCCUCGCCUCCACCCCGUUGGAUCGCUCCCUUCCCACGGGGCGUCUCACCCGUGUCCGCCAGGCGGCCCGUGGGGAGCGCGGUGCUGCGCAGUCUCAGGGAGGGGAGGGCGUGGGAGGAGGACAGCUCCCGGCCCAGUGUCCUCCUCCAACUUGGAAAACGGGAACCUGCUGAUGUCCAUACUCUGCAAUCCACUCAGCUUCCGGUAGGCAUCUCUUAAUCACUUAAUUGAAAUAGUUGAUCUGCAGUGUUGUGCUAGUUUCUGGUGUACAGCAAAGUGAUAAACACAUAUAUAUACAUGCACACACAGAUUCAGUAUCUUGUGAUCACCUGUAAUGGAAAAGAAUCUGAUGCCUUAAAGGUUAUUAUAAGAUACUGUGUGUGUAUAUAUAUUCUUUUUUCUGAUUCUUUUCCAUUAUGGGUGAUGACAAGAUAUUGAAUACAGCUCCAGGUGCUGUACUGUAGGCUCUUGUUGGUUAUCUUUUUUAUGUACAGUAGUUUACUAAUCUCAAACUCCUAAUUCAUCCCUUCCUUCCCCCUUUGGAGACCAUAGGUCUGUUUUUCUGUGACUGUUAGUUCGUCAUAUUUUAGAUUCUACAUAUAAGUGAUGUCAUGUCUUUCACUUAGUAUGAGAAUCUCUAGGUCCAUCCACGUUGCUGCACAUGGCAUGAUUUCAUUCCUUUUUUAUGGCUUAGUAUUCCAUUGUGUACAUGUGCCACAGCUUCCACAUGCAUUCCUCUGUCAAUAGACAUUCAGGUUGUUGCCAGGUCUUGGCUGUAGUGACUAGUGCUGCUGUGAACACUGGGGUGCAUGUAUUUUUUGAAUGGUCGUUUUUUCUGGGUAUAUGCCCAGGAGUGGGAUUGCUGGAUCAUAUGGCAACUCUGUUUAGCUUUUCGAGAAACCUCCAUACUGUUCUCCAUAGUGGUUGUACCAAUUUACAUCCCAACAGGGUGGGGGAGGCCCCCUUUUCUCCACACCCUCUCCAGCAUUUGUUAUAGCUUAAUGAUGGCUAUUCUGACAGGUGGAAGGGGGUACCUUAUUGCUGUUUGGAUUUGCAUUUCUCUGAUAAUCAGGGAUGUUGAGCAUCUUUUUGUGUGCCUGUUGGCCAUCUGUACGUUUCUGGAGAAAUGUCUGCUUAGGUCUUUGGCCCGUUUUUUGAUUGGGUUGUUUGGAAUAUUGAGCUGCAGGAGCUAUUGGUCUAUUUUGGAGGUUAAUCCCAUGUCAGCCUCGUUGUUCACAACUCUUUUCUCCCAAACCAUAGGUUGUCUUUUUGUUUUGUUGUCGGUUUCCUUCGCUGUGCAAAAGCCUGUCAGUUUGAUUGGGUCCCAUUGGUUUAUGUUUGCUUUUAUUUCCAUUACCUUGGGAGACUGACCUAAGAAAACACAUGGUAUGAUUUACAUCAGAAAAUGUUGUGCCUGGGAUCUCAGAGAUAUAUGGCAUAGUGUCUUUAACCCGUUUUGCAAUUAUUUUUGUGCAUGGUGUGAGGGUGUGUUCUGGUUUCAUUGAUUUACGUGUAGCUGUCCAGGUUUCCCAACCCUGGUUGGGAAGAGACUGUCUUUUGCCCCUUUGAUGUUCUUGCCUCCUUUGUGGAAGAUUAAGGGGCCAUGGGUGUGUGCGUUUAUUUCUGGGCUGUUGUUUAAAGAUACAGCAAGACAGCAUUAGAAGUGAAGGAGCUCAGUGUGUGUGGGGGGACAGAGCCCUGUCCCCAAGGACGUCCACACCCUGACCCCCAGACCUUGCGACUCUGUGACGUCCACAGCAGAGGGGACUUGGCAGCUGUGGCCACAUGAAGGACCUUGGCUGGGGAGAUGGCCGGGAUUUUCCAGGUGGUCCAGCGUCAUCACAGAGGUUCCCAUAAGAGGCAGAGGACCGUUUGAUCGCGAGAUGCUGGGCUUUAGGCUCUGGGGAUGGAGGAGGGACCGCACGCUCAGGACUGCUGCCGCCUCCAGAAGCUGGGAGAGGCCGCAGAUUCUCCGCUGGAGCUGCUCCAGGAGGAACCAGCCCUGCGGGCAGCCUGACUUGAGCGCUUUGGCCUUUAAAACACGAAGACAGCACAUCUUCCUUUGAAGCUGCCCGGUCUGUGGUACUUCUUUAGAGGGACCACGAGAGGCUGCGGGAUCCAGGGCUGCGAGGGAGCGGACACCGCAGAAAAGGUAACUCCUUGGGAAGCUCUGAUGACCGGACAGAUGAGCAGAAGCCGAAAGCUCAGGGAGAAAGAUCUACUUUUCCACGAACCGCUUUUCACGAGCGUCCCUAGGAGCCUGCGAACUCUGUGAGGGCAGGACUUAAGGUGCUUUGGGUUCCCUUCCAAAGGGGAGCAUGCCCACCCCUGCCCAACCGGUCCACCUGGCUGGAGCCCCAUGAGAAGCUGCCUGCUGGGGGUGUUGCAGUGUCAGAGGUCAGGUUGCACCCCCACCUCCCCGUGCCCCAACAUCCAGCACCCCGGUUCUGGAACACGUGUGUGGACUCAGAUGCACUGAGGCUGAAUUUGCAGGAACAGAGUUUGGAGCUGGCUAGCAGGGACCAUCUGAGUCCGAAGGUUUUGGGACCCGCCCUCCUGCCUGUCCUCCAGAGCAGCCCGAAGCUGAACUGCUUCCUGCAUCUCUGCAGAGCAGGGAGGUACAGACGAUGCUGGCAGCUCUCCUUCUCCUCUCAUGCCCCUGGACAUCCUCUGUGGUCACCUGCAGGUCUCCUCCAGCCAGCCGGCUGGCUCGCGGUAAGAACCGCCAGAGCACUUGCGAACGUCCAGGCAGUGGCCUCGCCUUGCCAGGGGACUUCAGAUGCCAGCCUCCAGUACCAGGAGGGAGAAAUGCCUCUUGUUGAAGCCGCCCCGUCUGGGGUAUCUGCUUUUGGCAGCUGAGCGGACUCAUACUGGUCUAGACUCACAGUCUGUAACCUCUGGGAGGAGGUCCAGGAAUGGAACCAUCCGAGAUGGACUCUCUAAUAUUUUCUGGGAGGAAUCAAGGGACUCCAAUGCUGGAAGCAAGGCCCCUGGAGGACCUCAGGGUGGUGCUGACAGCCCUUUGUGACUCAGGGACUCACCGGUGUCCGCCCAGGCAGUUCCCCUUUCCGUCGGCCUCAGGGAACUGCUCAGGAGAUCUUCUCAUGAGAGGAAUCCCGACUGCUCCACAGACAGGUGCCAGCGUUCAGACCCUGAGGCUGCCUCUGGCUCCGCAAGUGUGGAUGUGCCCAGGCAGGUCUCAGGACGGAGCCUCGAGAAGCAGGAAAGGCCGUGUGGAUGGAGCCCCUGGGGACGGAGAGGAGGAGGAAGAUGGACUGGGUCGAGCAGAGGAGUCAUCUGAUUCACCGUACAGGACAGCGUCCAGCCUUCACGCCGGGACGUCCUCCAGGGACGCCGUCGGGAGUCACAGGCUUCAGGAAGAUUUGAGAUGGGACUGGCUUAGUUUCAGUGGCUACAUGAUGCUCUCAGACCGUGAUAUGAGCUUUGUCGUGUCAUGGGGCAGUUGUAUCCGAUGAUUUGUAUGUCGUGCCUCGUGUGCCGUCCGUCUGGUUUCGUGUCAUGUUCCCCACUCAGCCAUAAAAACGAAUGAAAUAACGUCAUUCACAGCAACAUGGAUGCAACUAGAGAUUCUCACACUAAGCGAAGUUAGAAAGACAAACACCAUAUGAUGUCACUUCUAUGGAAUCUAAAAUAUGUCACAGAUGAACCUGUCUGCAGAACAGAAACAGACUCCCAGACAUGGAGACCAGACUUGUGGUUGCUGAGGGGUCGGGCGGGGGAUGCAGUGGGGAGUUUGGGCUGAGUUGAUGCAAACUGUGACACUGAGAAUGGAUCAGCAGCGAGGGCCUGCUGUCUCGCACAGGGGACUCUGUGUCCAAUCACUUGUGGUGGAACAUGACGGAAGAUACUAUGCAGAAGUGUGUGUAUAGACGGAUGACGGCGUCACUUUCCUGUACAUCAGAAAUGGACAGAACAGUGUAAAUCCGUGAUAAUUUAAAAAUUAAAGAAAAAAAGAAAUUGACUGUGUCAGGAGACACGGACCAGGAGGUACUCCCUCUGCAGGAACCAUUCCCGGGCAUCUGUUUCCAUCGCUGAGCAAGAUUUACUCAGACACGUGCAUUCUGAGUUUAGUCCUAUCCCAUGAUUUUCUUUAGAAAGUGCACCAACUGCCCUGUGGAAAGUAAAUGCAGCUGCCUUUUCCUAGUGUGUCCUGC
rnacentral:lncRNA from 1 species